rnacentral:rRNA from 1 species
UGGUUUGUCGCGUCGUUUGUGUAAGCCCGCAGCUUAACUGCGGGACUGCAGGCGAUACGGGCAUAACUUGAGUGCUGUAGGGGAGACUGGAAUUCCCGGUGUAGCGGUGGAAUGCGCAGAUAUCAGGAGGAACACCGAUGGCGAAGGCAGGUCUCUGGGCAGUAACUGACGCUGAGGAGCGAAAGCAUGGGUAGCGAACAGGAUUAGAUACCCUGGUAGUCCAUGCCGUAAACGGUGGGCGCUAGGUGUGAGUCCCUUCCACGGGGUUCGUGCCGUAGCUAACGCAUUAAGCGCCCCGCCUGGGGAGUACGGCCGCAAGGCUAAAACUCAAAGGAAUUGACGGGGGCCCGCACAAGCGGCGGAGCAUGUGGAUUAAUUCGAUGCAACGCGAAGAACCUUACCUGGGCUUGACAUACACCAGAUAGGGCCAGAGAUGGUCUUUCCCUUUGUGGUUGGUGUACAGGUGGUGCAUGGUUGUCGUCAGCUCGUGUCGUGAGAUGUUGGGUUAAGUCCCGCAACGAGCGCAACCCUUGUCUUAUGUUGCCAGCACGUUAUGGUGGGGACUCGUGAGAGACUGCCGGGGUUAACUCGGAGGAAGGUGGGGAUGACGUCAAAUCAUCAUGCCCCUUAUGUCCAGGGCUUCACACAUGCUACAAUGGUCGGUACAACGCGUCUGCGAGCCUGUGAGGGUGAGCUAAUCGCUGUAAAGCCGGUCGUAGUUCGGAUUGGGGUCUGCAACUCGACCCCAUGAAGUCGGAGUCGCUAGU